UAUUUGACAGUCCGAUCAAAACUCAAGGGUUUCAUCCGACCGUCAAUUCACACACAUGUUUGUAGGUCUGUUUCCCAUUUUGUUCUCUGAAACCCUCCCAAAGUUUCAAUCCUCUCCAAUGGCGGCGACCGACGAACCCUCCGAUCACUCCUCUUUUCCAUCGUAUUUGGAGAUGAUAAUGGCAGUGCCGCAGGAGCCAGAGAAGUCUAAGUAGCACUCACAGGUGUCGUCCUCGCCAUCGUCUUCAUCUUCAGUGUCACCGUUGAAGCUUGAAAUGUAGCUCUUGCCCUCAUCGAAGUUUAGGUUUAAUCUUUAUAAUCUUAUCCUCUGUUCAUCUAGGGUUAGGAUUUUAGUUUUUUUUUUCAAAAUGUCUGAUUUAAUUGGGGUUUGAUCUACAAGUUUGAUUUUCACUUGGUACAAUUCUUCUUUGCUUGCAUGCCUUCAUUAGGUACUUCUCUACAUUUAUUUAAUUCCUCUUUUUUUCCCAUUUUGAUUUCUUUGGUUUAUGGAUUAAUUGUUUUCAUCUUAGUUGUUUAUCUGGUGGCUCAGUAUUCACGCUAUAAAAUCAGAAGGAUGGAAGCGGUAAUUGCUCUUUUAUUCUUUGGUAUCUUGCUUAUUGACUCACUUUGUUCUCCCUUUUUUUUUUGCUUUUGUGUUCUAAUUCUGGACAUUUUGGUUUAGGAUUGUGAUGAUUUAGAUUCUAGAGCAUGAUCUAGUAUGAUAAAUUUCUAAGUUAAUUGAGACACUUUUAGUGUGUUCUAUUUAUUUAAAACUCUCUCUGUUUUCAUGUGAACCUUUUAGGAGUUCCACAUAUGGAGGACAAAAUCAGGUUCCGGAAGGUUUGUUUGUAAUUAUUAAUGUUAUAAAAUCUUAAUAAGAGAGUUUGUUUGUUUAUAGGUUGAGGUCGCAACACCAAAGCAAGCAAUGCUCAGCAGGUGAAGAGGUCUUUGGUAAUUGCAUUGUCUCCAGUUCUAGACAAUGCAAAGACAAUAGGGUUGAUCUCUCUUUUGGGAGUAAUGAUGGGGGUGAUAAUGGAUGGGGCAUCGCUAUUGGAGGCAAUUUAGUUGCAGAUAAUAGUCAUGAACAUUCUCAUCAGCGCGUCAACGGUUAGCAGCAUCUUCUCAACUUAUCUCUGCUGGCCCGCAUUCUUCACCAAAGCGUACUAGUUGGAAACUAAAGUCUUUAUUGCAGACUAGUACAAGUCAUGGUUUCCGAGAGUUGUAUAAUGUAUCAAUCAGUAUUCAGCUUCAAAUUGCUUAAUGUAAUUUUUUUGCAUGUGUUAAGAUGCAGGAUUAGUUUGCUUAAUGUAAUGUUGCCAGUGUUAAGAUGCAUGAUCAGUUUGCUUAAUGUAAUGUUGCCAGUGUUAAAAUGCACUAUCAAUUUGCUUAAUGUAAUGUUGCCAAUGUUAAAAUGCACGAUCAGUUUGCUUAA